CGAUGGGUGAGUAACACGUACUUAACAUGCCCUUUAGAUUGGGAUAACGAUGAGAAAUUAUCGCUAAUACCGGAUACUUAUAUGGAACGCAUGUUCUAUAUAUAAAAGGAGCCUUAAAGCUUCACUAAAGGAUUGGGGUGCGUAACAUUAGCUAGUUGGUAGGGUAAUGGCCUACCAAGGCUAUGAUGUUUAACGGGGUUGAGAGACUGAACCGUCACACUGGGACUGAGAUACGGCCCAGACUCCUACGGGAGGCAGCAGUAGGGAAUUUUCCACAAUGGACGAAAGUCUGAUGGAGCGACACAGCGUGCAGGAUGAAGGCCUUCGGGUUGUAAACUGCUGUUAUUUAGGAUGAAAAAAUAGUAGAGGAAAUGCUAUUAUCUUGACAGUACUAAAUCAGAAAGCAACGGCUAACUAUGUGCCAGCAGCCGCGGUAAUACAUAGGUUGCAAGCGUUAUCCGGAAUUAUUGGGUGUAAAGCGUCUGUAGGUUGUAUGUUAAGUCUGACGUCAAAACUUGGGGCUCAACCCCAAAUCGCGUUGGAUACUGGCAUACUAGAAUUGCAUAGAGGUUAACGGAAUUCCUUGUGAAGCGGUGAAAUGCGUAGAUAUAAGGAAGAACACCAACAUGGCGAAGGCAGUUAACUGGGUGCAUAUUGACACUGAGAGACGAAAGCGUGGGGAGCAAACAGGAUUAGAUACCCUGGUAGUCCACGCCGUAAACGAUGAUGAUUAGCUAAUAGUGAUGAAGCUAUUGGCGCAGCUAACGCAUUAAAUCAUCCACCUGAGUAGUAUGCUCGCAAGAGUGAAACUUAAAGGAAUUGACGGGGAUCCGCACAAGCGGUGGAGCAUGUGGUUUAAUUUGAAGCUACGCGUAGAACCUUACCCACUCUUGACAUCUCCGCGAAGCUAUAGA
rnacentral:rRNA from 1 species